rnacentral:rRNA from 1 species
CCUACGGGAGGCAGCAGUGGGGAAUUUUCCGCAAUGGGCGAAAGCCUGACGGAGCAAUACCGCGUGAGGGAGGAAGGCUCUUGGGUUGUAAACCUCUCUUUUCAGGGAAGAUAAUGACGGUACCUGAGGAAUAAGCAUCGGCUAACUCCGUGCCAGCAGCCGCGGUAAUACGGAGGAUGCAAGCGUUAUCCGGAAUGAUUGGGCGUAAAGCGUCCGCAGGUGGUUUUAAAAGUCUGUUGUUAAAGCGUGAGGCUUAACCUCAUAAGGGCAAUGGAAACUGUAAGACUAGAGUACGUUCGGGGCAAGGGGAAUUCCCAGUGUAGCGGUGAAAUGCGUAGAGAUUGGGAAGAACACCGGUGGCGAAAGCGCCUUGCUAGGCCGUAACUGACACUGAGGGACGAAAGCUAGGGGAGCGAAUGGGAUUAGAUACCCCAGUAGUCCUAGCCGUAAACGAUGGAUACUAGGCGUUGUCUGUAUCGACCCGGACAGUGCCGUAGCUAACGCGUUAAGUAUCCCGCCUGGGGAGUACGCACGCAGUGUGAACGUACAAGAAGUAGACGGCGUGAGACGUGCCGAACGGACGACGACGAGGGAGAGG